rnacentral:rRNA from 1 species
GACGAACGCUGGCGGCGUGCUUAACACAUGCAAGUCGAGCGAUGAAAGCCUUAUGAACUAUUCGUAGUGAUUGGGGCCGGAUUAGCGGCGGACGGGUGAGUAACGCGUGAGCAACCUGCCUUAAACAACGGGAUAGCCUCGGGAAACCGGGAUUAAUACCGUAUGAGACCCCGCCUUCACAUGAAGAAGAGGUUAAAGAUUUAUCGGUUUAAGAUGGGCUCGCGUCUGAUUAGCUAGUUGGUGAGAUAAAAGCCCACCAAGGCAACGAUCAGUAACCGGCUUGAGAGAGUGAACGGUCACAUUGGAACUGAGACACGGUCCAAACUCCUACGGGAGGCAGCAGUGGGGAAUAUUGCACAAUGGGGGAAACCCUGAUGCAGCGACGCCGCGUGAGCGAUGAAGGAAUUCGUUUCGUAAAGCUCUGUCCAAGGGGAAGAUAAUGACAGUACCCUUGGAGGAAGCCCCGGCUAAAUACGUGCCAGCAGCCGCCGCGG